rnacentral:rRNA from 1 species
UACAGAGGUCUCAAGCGUUGUUCGGAUUCAUUGGGCGUAAAGGGUGCGUAGGUGGCGCCGUAAGUCGGGUGUGAAAUUUCGGAGCUUAACUCCGAAACUGCAUUCGAUACUGCGGUGCUUGAGGACUGGAGAGGAGACUGGAAUUCAUGGUGUAGCAGUGAAAAUGCGUAGAGAUCAUGAGGAAGACCAGUGGCGAAGGCGGGUCUCUGGACAGUUCCUGACACUGAGGCACGAAGGCCAGGGGAGCAAAACGGGG